AACUGUGACUCGCCACUCCAUUCCCAUUAAUUGUGCUUAUAGGUGCAACAUUAGAUCUCAUUGUUAAAUGAGCAAUCAAGAAUGACAAUUCUAAGCCUCAUAUUUACUUUCUUCAGGUCCUUCAAAGAGAAUUUUGAAUGAAAGGCACCGAUUGAAUAUUGAUAGGUGAGGUAUUCUCAGGGCCACUACCAAUUGUUGUUGUCCCACCAAGGCAUUGCCCUGAAAACAAUAAUGUGCUUUGG
rnacentral:misc_RNA from 1 species